UACGAAGGGGGCUAGCGUUGCUCGGAAUCACUGGGCGUAAAGGGUGCGUAGGCGGGUCUUUAAGUCAGGGGUGAAAUCCUGGAGCUCAACUCCAGAACUGCCUUUGAUACUGAGGAUCUUGAGUACGGGAGAGGUGAGUGGAACUGCGAGUGUAGAGGUGAAAUUCGUAGAUAUUCGCAAGAACACCAGUGGCGAAGGCGGCUCACUGGCCCGUAACUGACGCUCAUGCACGACAGCGUGGGGAUCAAACAGG
rnacentral:rRNA from 1 species